rnacentral:rRNA from 1 species
AUUGAACGCUGGCGGCAGGCCUAACACAUGCAAGUCGAACGAGUGGCAGACGGGUAAGUAAUGUCUGGGAAACUGCCUGCUGGAGGGGGAUAACUACUGGAAACGGUAGCUAAUACCGCAUACCCUCGGAUGUGCCCAGAUGGGAUUAGCGAGUAGGUGGGGUAAAGGCUCACCUAGGCGACGAUCCCUAGCUGGUCUGAAAGGAUGACCAGCCACACUGGAACUGGGACACGGUCCAGACUCCUACGUGAGGCAGCAGUGGGAAAGAUUGCACAAUGGGCGAAAGCCGUAUGCCACCAUGCCGCGUGUAGGAAGAAGGCCUGCGGGUUGUAAAGUACGUUCAGCGGGGAGGCGUUACCCGCAGAAGAAGCACCGGCUAACUCCGUGCCAGCCGCCGCGGUAAUUC